ACAAUUCAUUUUGGAACUGAAUUCUCGUGGGUCUGCAUGGCACAUACCACAAAAAACAACAAUGGCAUGUUUUUGUUGUGUAUAAAAUUUUGUAUUUGAAAGUUUGUAGCACCAUGAGAUUCAGCUCUGGCAUGAAUUUC
rnacentral:pre_miRNA from 1 species